rnacentral:rRNA from 1 species
AGAGUUUGAUCCUGGCUCAGAACGAACGCUGGCGGCAGGCUUAACACAUGCAAGUCGAACGAGAAGGCCACCUUCGGGUGGUGGAAAGNGCAGACGGGCGAGUAACGCGUGGAACGUGCCCAAAGGUACGGAACAACUCCGGGAAACUGGAGCUAAUACAGUAUGUGCCCGCAAGGGGAAUAGAUUUAUCGCCUUUGGAUCGGCCCGCGUCUGAUUAGCUAGUUGGUGAGGUAACGGCUCACCAAGGCGACGAUCAGUAGCUGGUCUGAGAGGAUGAUCAGCCACACUGGGACUGAGACACGGCCCAGACUCCUACGGGAGGCAGCAGUGGGGAAUAUUGGACAAUGGGCGCAAGCUUGAUCCAGCCAUGCCGCGUGAGUGAUGAAGGCCUUAGGGUUGUAAAGCUCUUUCGGCGGGGACGAUAAUGACGGUACCCGCAGAAGAAGCCCCGGCUAACUUCGUGCCAGCAGCCGCGGUAAUACGAAGGGGGCUAGCGUUGUUCGGAAUCACUGGGCGUAAAGCGUAUGCAGGCGGAUCGCUAAGUCGGGGGUGAAAUCCCGAGGCUCAACCUCGGAACUGCCUUCGAUACUGGCGAUCUUUGAGUCCGGGAGAGGUGAGUGGAACUCCGAGUGUAGAGGUGAAAUUCGUAGAUAUUCGGAAGAACACCAGUGGCGAAGGCGGCUCACUGGCCCGGUACUGACGCUGAGAUACGAAAGCAUGGGGAGCAAACAGGAUUAGAUACCCUGGUAGUC